GUCUAUGGCCAUGCUACCCAGAACAAGCCCAAUCCCGUCUGAUCUCAGAAGCUAAGUAGGGUCGGGCCGGCUAGUACUUGGAUGGGAGACCACCUAGGAAGACCAGGUGCUGUGAACA
rnacentral:rRNA from 1 species